CUCACCGUUUGAGAAAUGGGGGGACGCAGUAGGAUAGGGUAAGCGCGCUGUUGGAUAUGCGCGUCCAAGCAGUAAGGCGUGUGUGUAGGCAAAUCCGCACACUAUAACGUUGAGCUGUGAUGGCGAGUCCGGAUGGACGAAGUUCCUGAUUUCACACUGCCAAGAAAAGCCUCUAUCGAGGUGAGAGGUGCCCGUACCGCAAACCGACACAGGUAGUCGAGGAGAGAAUCCUAAGGGGUGCGAGAGAACUCUCGUUAAGGAACUCGGCAAAAUGACCCCGUAACUUCGGGAGAAGGGGUGCUCUUGAGCGUGCAAGCGCAUGAGAGCCGCAGUGAAUAGGCCCAGGCGACUGUUUAGCAAAAACACAGGUCUCUGCAAAACCGGAAGGUGACGUAUAGGGGCUGACGCCUGCCCGGUGCUGGAAGGUUAAGAGGAGUGGUUAGCGCAAGCGAAGCUGCGAAUUGAAGCCCCAGUAAACGGCGGCCGUAACUAUAACGGUCCUAAGGUAGCGAAAUUCCUUGUCGGGUAAGUUCCGACCCGCACGAAAGGCGUAACGAUCUGGGCACU
rnacentral:rRNA from 1 species